CCAAAUACUCAACAGAGAGGUGCAGCUGUGUAUACGAUUGACCACGGCCUGCAUUUUCUCGCAUCUGGUAAGAUCAAGGCUUGUCAGGUUCGCAGGCAGCAACUCACCGUCAGGUAAGAAAUCGAGACUCGGAUUAUCUUCUAUCGUAAUACUGCUUAGAUGGCUGAGACUGUGUAUGCCAGUGGGUAAGGAUUUAAGAUUUCCACAAUUAUCAAUGCCAAUGGUUUUAAGCAAUGAAUUAUGAUGUAGUUCCUUAGCUAUUGACUCUAGCUCUGGACAUGAAUUAAUCCAUAAUGUUUGAAGUGCUGCAGGUAAUUCAUCGCUUGAUAUUA